rnacentral:rRNA from 1 species
GAUGAACGCUAGCUACAGGCUUAACACAUGCAAGUCGAGGGGAAACGACAUCGAAAGCUUGCUUUUGAUGGGCGUCGACCGGCGCACGGGUGAGUAACGCGUAUCCAACCUGCCCAUCACUUGGGAAUAACCUUGCGAAAGUAAGACUAAUACCCAAUGAUAUCCCACGAAGGCAUCGGAAUGGGAUUAAAGAUUUAUCGGUGAUGGAUGGGGAUGCGUCUGAUUAGCUUGUUGGCGGGGUAACGGCCCACCAAGGCAACGAUCAGUAGGGGUUCUGAGAGGAAGGUCCCCCACAUUGGAACUGAGACACGGUCCAAACUCCUACGGGAGGCAGCAGUGAGGAAUAUUGGUCAAUGGGCGAGAGCCUGAACCAGCCAAGUAGCGUGCAGGAAGACGGCCCUAUGGGUUGUAAACUGCUUCUAUAAGGGAAUAAAGUGGGUCACGUGUGACUUUUUGCAUGUACCUUAUGAAUAAGGACCGGCUAAUUCCGUG